rnacentral:rRNA from 1 species
GACGGACGCUGGCGGCGUGCCUAAUACAUGCAAGUUGAGCGCUGAAGGUUGGUACUUGUACCGACUGGAUGAGCAGCGAACGGGUGAGUAACGCGUGGGGAAUCUGCCUUUGAGCGGGGGACAACAUUUGGAAACGAAUGCUAAUACCGCAUAAAAACUUUAAACACAAGUUUUAAGUUUGAAAGAUGCAAUUGCAUCACUCAAAGAUGAUCCCGCGUUGUAUUAGCUAGUUGGUGAGGUAAAGGCUCACCAAGGCGAUGAUACAUAGCCGACCUGAGAGGGUGAUCGGCCACAUUGGGACUGAGACACGGCCCAAACUCCUACGGGAGGCAGCAGUAGGGAAUCUUCGGCAAUGGACGAAAGUCUGACCGAGCAACGCCGCGUGAGUGAAGAAGGUUUUCGGAUCGUAAAACUCUGUUGGUAGAGAAGAACGUUGGUGAGAGUGGAAAGCUCAUCAAGUGACGGUAACUACCCAGAAAGGGACGGCUAACUACGUG